rnacentral:tRNA from 2 species
GCUGAUGUGGGCCGAUGGCAGGCUACUGAGUUUUCAACAGUUUCUCAGGAAAGGCGGUUCGAUUCCGUCAAUCAGCA